AGCCCUAUAGUUCAGUGGUCAAGAAUGCAGGCCUUUGAAGCCUGAAACCCAGGUUCGAAUCCUGGUAGGGCUA
rnacentral:tRNA from 1 species